rnacentral:rRNA from 1 species
AGAGUUUGAUCCUGGCUCAGAAUCAACGCUGGCGGCGCGCCUAACACAUGCAAGUCGAACGAGAAAGUGGAGCAAUCCAUGAGUACAGUGGCGUACGGGUGAGUAACACGUGGGUGAUCUACCUCUUAGUGGGGAAUAACUUUGGGAAACCGAAGCUAAUACCGCAUAAGCUCGAGAGAGGAAAGCAGCAAUGCGCUGAGAGAGGAGCCCGCGGCCGAUUAGCUAGUUGGCAGGAUAAAAGCCUACCAAGGCAUAGAUCGGUAGCCGGCCUGAGAGGGCACACGGCCACACUGGCACUGAAACACGGGCCAGACUCCUACGGGAGGCAGCAGUGGGGAAUCUUGCACAAUGGGGGAAACCCUGAUGCAGCGACGCCGCGUGAGCGAUGAAGCCCUUCGGGGUG